AGUGAACGCUGGCGGUAGGCCUAACACAUGCAAGUCGAACAGCAGCACAGUAAGAGCUUGCUCUUACGGGUGGCGAGUGGCGGACGGGUGAGGAAUACAUCGGAAUCUACUUUUUCGUGGGGGAUAACGUAGGGAAACUUACGCUAAUACCGCAUACGACCUACGGGUGAAAGCAGGGGAUCUUCGGACCUUGCGCGAUUGAAUGAGCCGAUGUCGGAUUAGCUAGUUGGCGGGGUAAAGGCCCACCAAGGCGACGAUCCGUAGCUGGUCUGAGAGGAUGAUCAGCCACACUGGAACUGAGACACGGUCCAGACUCCUACGGGAGGCAGCAGUGGGGAAUAUUGGACAAUGGGCGCAAGCCUGAUCCAGCCAUACCGCGUGGGUGAAGAAGGCCUUCGGGUUGUAAAGCCCUUUUGUUGGGAAAGAAAAGCAGCAGGUUAAUACCCCGCUGUUCUGACGGUACCCAAAGAAUAAGCACCGGCUAACUUCGUA
rnacentral:rRNA from 1 species